rnacentral:misc_RNA from 1 species
UGGCAGUCCUCGCAUCCCACC